rnacentral:rRNA from 1 species
UACGUAGGUGACCAGCGUUGUCCGGAUUUACUGGGCGUAAAGAGCGCGCAGGCGGUCGUUCAAGUCGAGUGUGAAAGCCCCCGGCUCAACUGGGGAGGGUCAUUCGAUACUGAUCGACUGGAAGGCAGGAGAGGGAAGCGGAAUUCCCGGUGUAGUGGUGAAAUGCGUAGAUAUCGGGAGGAACACCAGUGGCGAAGGCGGCCUCCUGGCCUGUUCUUGACGCUGAGGCGCGAAAGCUAGGGGAGCAAACGGG